GAUGAAGAACGUAGCGAAAUGCGAUAAGUAAUGUGAAUUGCAGAAUUCAGUGAAUCAUCGAAUCUUUGAACGCAUCUUGCGCUCCUUGGUAUUCCGAGGAGCAUGCCUGUUUGAGUGUCAUUUAACUUCUCAACCACAUUGGAUAUUUUUUUUCCGAUGCCGGCUUGGAUGUGGGGGUUGUUUGCAGGCUUUUUGUAACAAAAAAGGUCGGCUCCCCUGAAAUGUAUUAGUGGUAUCUGAGGCUAUUACUAUUAGGUGUGAUAAUUAUCUAUGCCUUUUGGGUAUGCCGCAUGAACAGAUUAUGCUGCUUCUAACGAAAACUAUUUUGAUGAAUUUGACCUCAAAUCAGGUAGGACUACCCGCUGAACUUAAGCAUAUCAAAAGCGGAGGA
rnacentral:misc_RNA from 1 species